rnacentral:rRNA from 1 species
UACGUAGGUGGCAAGCGUUGUCCGGAAUUAUUGGGCGUAAAGCGCGCGCAGGCGGUCCUUUAAGUCUGAUGUGAAAAGCCCACGGCUCAACCGUGGAGGGUCAUUGGAAACUGGGGGACUUGAGUACAGAAGAGAAGAGUGGAAUUCCACGUGUAGCGGUGAAAUGCGUAGAGAUGUGGAGGAACACCAGUGGCGAAGGCGACUCUUUGGUCUGUAACUGACGCUGAGGCGCGAAAGCGUGGGGAGCAAACAGG